rnacentral:rRNA from 1 species
UGAGGAAUAUUGGUCAAUGGGCGAGAGCCUGAACCAGCCAAGUAGCGUGCGGGAUGAAGGCCCUUGUGGUCGUAAACCGCUUUUAUCAGUGAAUAAAGUGCACCACGUGUGGUGUCAUUGCAGGUAGCUGAAGAAAAAGGACCGGCUAAUUCCGUGCCAGCAGCCGCGGUAAUACGGAAGGUCCGGGCGUUAUCCGGAAUUAUUGGGUUUAAAGGGAGCGCAGGCGGGAGUAUAAGUCAGCUGUUAAAUAUCAGGGCCCAACUCUGUUAUGCAGUUGAAACUAUAUUUCUUGAGUACGCACAGGGAUGGCGGAAUUCAGGGUGUAGCGGUGAAAUGCUUAGAUAUCCUGAAGAACUCCGAUCGCGAAGGCAGCCAUCCGGAGCGUAACUGACGCUGAGGCUCGAAGGUGCGGGUAUCGAACAGGAUUAGAUACCCUGGUAGUCCGCACGGUAAACGAUGAAUACUCGCAGUUCGGCCUUUUAGGUCGAGUUGUCCAGCGAAAGCGUUAAGUAUUCCACCUGGGGAGUACGCCGGCAACGGUG